rnacentral:tRNA from 2 species
UGGGGUGUCGCCAAGCGGUAAGGCAGCGGCUUUUGGUGCCGCCAUUCCCAGGUUCGACCGGUUCGCCGGGAGCGAACCGGGACCGCGAAGGCGGGCCCGAAGGGCGAAGGGCAGGAUGCCCGGAGCAAUCCUGGCACCCAA